CUAGACGGCUGGGCGGUCGCUAUCGAAGCAGUCAUGCUUCUGUAGAGGAAAGUCCGGGCUCCACAGGAUAACGGUGCCGGUUAACGGCCGGCGGGGGAAACCCUAGGGAAAGUGCCACAGAAACAAUACCGUCUGCCGAGCCUCUCAAGGCUGCAGAUAAGGGUGAAACGGUGCGGUAAGAGCGCACCGCGGGUCUGGCAACAGAACCGGUCAUGGUAAACCCCACCGGGAGCAAGACCGAAUAGGAACGGCAAGUCUUCACUGACUAAGGGUGUCCGGCCCUGCUGUUCGGGUUGGUUGCGAGAGGCAGGCUGCAAAGUCUGUCCCAGAGGAAUGAUCGCCCAUCUCUUUAACAAGAGUGGACAGAACCCGGCUUAUAGGCCGUCUAGCUUU
rnacentral:RNase_P_RNA from 3 species